rnacentral:tRNA from 1 species
AGGGAUGUAGCUCAGUGGUAGAGUGCUUGCCUAGCAUACACAAGGCCCUGGGUUCAAUCCCCACUACUCCUC